UGCUUGCACCUUUCAAGCGAGUGGCGAACGGGUGAGUAACACGUGGAUAACCUGCCUCAAGGCUGGGGAUAACAUUUGGAAACAGAUGCUAAUACCGAAUAAAACUUAGUAUCGCAUGAUAUCAAGUUGAAAGGCGCUACGGCGUCACCUAGAGAUGGAUCCGCGGUGCAUUAGUUAGUUGGUGGGGUAAAGGCCUACCAAGACGAUGAUGCAUAGCCGAGUUGAGAGACUGAUCGGCCACAUUGGGACUGAGACACGGCCCAAACUCCUACGGGAGGCUGCAGUAGGGAAUCUUCCACAAUGGGCGAAAGCCUGAUGGAGCAACGCCGCGUGUGUGAUGAAGGCUUUCGGGUCGUAAAGCACUGUUGUAUGGGAAGAAAUGCUAAAAUAGGGAAUGAUUCUAGUUCGACGGUACCAUACCAGAAAGGGACGGCUAAAUACGUGCCAGCAGCCGCGGUAAUACGUAUGUCCCGAGCGUUAUCCGGAUUUAUUGGGCGUAAAGCGAGCGCAGACGGUUGAUUAAGUCUGAUGUGAAAGCCCGGAGCUCAACUCCGGAAUGGCAUUGGAAACUGGUUAACUUGAGUGUUGUAGAGGUAAGUGGAACUCCAUGGGUAG
rnacentral:rRNA from 1 species